rnacentral:rRNA from 1 species
UACGGAGGGUGCAAGCGUUGUCCGGAUUUAUUGGGUUUAAAGGGUGCGUAGGCGGCCCGUUAAGUCAGCGGUGAAAUCCCGGGGCUCAACCCCGGAACUGCCGUUGAUACUGGCGGGCUUGAGUUCGGUCGAGGCGGGCGGAACUGGCGGUGUAGCGGUGAAAUGCUUAGAUACCGCCAAGAACCCCGAUUGCGUAGGCAGCUCGCUGGGCCGAAACUGACGCUGAGGCACGAAAGCGUGGGGAGCGAACAGG